rnacentral:lncRNA from 1 species
UAAAAAAUGCACAGGUGUACAUUUCCAGGAUCCAAGACCUUCAAGAAAAAAAACCUGCGAGUAUGUAAGUGCAUUAGCGAGCCUUACAGGUGACAGGGUGACUUUUCACAGAUUUCCAGUGAACGGUCCUGAGCGACUGAAGCUUUGGCUGCUGCUCAUCAGGAUAUUACUUUAACUAUUCGAUACUUAAAGCACAUGAAGUUGUGCAGUGAACAUUUUUCACGAGACGAUUUCAGAGCAGAUGAGGGAAAGGCACGUCGAGAUCUUACAAAUACAGCUGUGCCUGUGACUUGUUUACAAAAAGCAGAGGUAUGCAUGGAAACAGCUUGGGGGAUCUUUGAGGGGGUUAGAGUUAAGGAUGCAUACAUUUUUAUUUAUUUUUAAAACUUAUUUUACAAUUACUUGAUGUAUAGGCCAAUGCAUUAUAAAGUAGUGUAAUUUUCACCAUAUUAAACCGUAAGACGGGUUGUUUUAGGAGACUGUGAGAGGUCGAUCACUGAUCAGCCGGGACUUCAAUUCAGAAGUUUCGGAGGAAGAAAUGGAUCACUGUUAUGCAUCAACCGCUGAGACAAUACAAGCUCUGCCCAAGAAGCGAAAGAGGACAGACGUGAAGCGGGAGAAAGACAGACUGAGGCAGAAAAACAGAGUAAACAUCGGCGAGGAAUAUUCCAGAUGGAAAGCGCUGAAGGUGGAGAAAGGCAUGAAGAAUGACAUGGAGGUUGCUUGUUAUCUGCUGGACAGGGUGUGUGGUGAACAUCUUUCACAAGACCAUUCCAGUGAAUCUCCGAGAAAGAGAGGAAGACGGCAGAAAUCAACAUCUGCACUGAAGUCUGAGGUAUGUCACCGGGUCAAUUCGGGUAAAUUGGGGCACUUUGCUAUUGAGAUGACUGGGGAAAAAGUCUAAAGUAUCCUUACUUAUUGCCAUAAAAUAAAUUCUAUAUAUAAUCUCUAUCUCUUAUAUGCAUUUGGUUUACACUGCAUCUGAUACAACGAUCUCGAACAUGAAUUGUCAUAGCAGACUCAGAGCGAUUCACCUCAGCCUAGUCCAGAUCUUCAGUCCACAAACGUUGAGGUCCUUGGGAUCUGCUACGACGUCCCUCCCCUAUGGUUAUAUCAGCCGGUAAGUGCUCACAUAUGCUAGUUUUGCGACCAUUGGCUUGCAAUGCAGCACUUAAUU